rnacentral:lncRNA from 1 species
UUGGUUUCUUCAUUUGUGGUACCUUAGCUAGAGGUGUCUCGUAGACAGGUGGUUUCACAUGAGGAGGUGGGUGAAAGGGUGGAUGAUGGUAAAUUGGUGGGGGUGGAUGAUAUGCUUGUGGUGGAGGUGUUUUCACAUAAGGCGAUUUAUACACUGGUGGUAGUUUUUCAUGAGGAGGUUGAUACUUUGGCAUUGGCUUUUCAUGACGCGGUGGGUUAUAAUUUGGUGGUAAUUUCUUAUGAGGUGGCGCAAACUCUGGUGGUGGAUUUUCAUGUGGUGAUUUUUCGUGAGGAGGUUGAUACUUUGUUGAUGGAGGUGGUGGUUGGUACUCUGGCAACGAGAUUUCUUGUGGUGGUUUUUCAUGAGGUGGGUGAUGCGUAGGUGGUGUAUUUUCAUGAGGUGGUUUCUCAUGUGGAGGUUUGUACUCUGGAGGUGGAUUUUCUUGUGGUGGUUGGUACUCUGGAGGGGGAUGUUCAUGUGGUGGUUUUUCAUGAGGUGGUUUGUAUUCUGGUGGUGGAUGCACAUGUGGUGGUUGGUUCUCUGGAGGCGGAUGUUCAUAAUGAGGUGGUUUUUCAUGAGGUGGUUGAUACUCUGGUGGUGGAUUUUCAUGAGGUGGGUUCUCAUGCGGAGGUUGGUGCUCUGGUGGUGGAUGCACAUGAGGUGGUUGAUAUUCUGGUGGUGGAUGUUCAUGUGGUGGCUUUUCAUGAGGUGGUUGGUACUCUGAUGGUGGCUUCAUUUGUGGUGGUUUCUCAUGAGGUGGUUGGUACUCUUGUGGUGGUGGUUCAUAUGGUGAUUUUUCAUGAGGUGGUUUUAGAUAAGGAGGUUGGUACUCAGGUGGUGGAUGCACAUGUGGCGGUUUUUCGUGAGGUGGUUGGUACUCCGGCGGUGGAUGUUCAUGAGGUGGUUGAUACUCUGGUGGUGGAUGCACAUGUGGUGGUUUCUCAUGAGGUGGUUGAUACUCAGGUGGUGGAUGCUCAUGUGGUGGUUUCUCGUGAGGUGGUUGGUACUCUGGAGGUGGAUGUUCAUGCGGUGGUUUUUCAUGAGGUGGUUGAUACUCUGGUGGUGAACUUUCAUGUGGUGGUUUUUCGUGAGGUGGUUGGUAUUCUGGCGGCGGCUUCUCAUAAGGUGGUGUAUACUCAGGUGGUGGCUUUUCAUGAGGUGGCUGGUACUCAGGCGGUGGUUUUUCAUGAUGAGGUGGUUGAUACUCUGGUGGUGGUUUCUCAUAAGGUGGUUUGUAUUCUGGCGGUGGGUUCUCAUAUGGUGGUUUUCCAUGAUGAGGUGGCUCAUAUUCUGGUGAUGGAUUCUCACGAGGUGGUUGAUAUUCUCGUGGUGGCUCUUCAUGUGGUGGUUUCUCAUAUGGUGGCUCGUACACCGGAGGUGGCUUCUCAUGUGGAGGAUGGUAUAUUGGUGGUGUGUGGGCCGGAGGUUUAUAAUUUGGUGGUGGAUGAAUUAUUGGAGGCUUAUAAACUGGUGGUGGUUCCUCGGUUGGUGGAGGCUCAUAGAUGGGUG